CCCUGUCUUUAAUGAUUGAUCCAAAUGUCAACAUGCUUCCAGUUUGCAGUCCAAGUCCAUGUAACCCCUUUUAUUCAUAACAAUUACUGGAUCUGUACACGAGGCUGCUGUCUUUUGGAUGUUUCAGAUAUGAUCAGCGUUUUAUUUUGAAUUGUGAGGUCAUUUAAGCAGCUGCUGGAUUUAAAAGCUUUUGAUCUACUUUGAAGACACAAUGAUCUUCAUUUCAGCUGAAAAACGACAUUUCGCUUUUUACUUGUCAGUUGGUCUGUUGAGUAUACCACUGCUUGCAGAAUGCAUUGAGGUUAAGCUGGUCGGGCCUUCACGUUGCUCUGGUAGACUGGAGGUCUUGCACACAGGCAGUUGGGGAACUGUGUGUGAUGACCUAUGGAGCCUCGCCAACGCUGACGUGGUAUGUCGAGAGUUAAACUGCGGGACAGCUCUUGAGGCCACUAAAGUCGCCUCUUUUGGAGAGGGAAAGAACAUGAUCUGGUUGGAUGAUGUGCAGUGUACUGGUCAUGAGACAUCUGUCCUCAAGUGCACACACAGACCAAUGGGGCAAAAUGACUGCAGCCACUCUGAAGAUGCUGGGGUUACCUGUUCAGAACAUGUGAAGGUAGUCAACGGAAGCAAUCGGUGUACUGGCAGAGUGGAAGUCUACCAUGAAGGCAACUGGAAACGAGCAUGCAAAAGUGACUGGGCGACGUUAGACGCUGUUGUGGUGUGCCGAGAGCUUAACUGUGGCACCCCUAUCACUCAGACUGAAGAGCUAUAUUUUGGAGAGUCACGUGACCUGCAUGGCAUCAAACCCAACUGUUUAGGAAAUGAGAGCUCUAUCUCACUGUGCAGAAUUCAGGAAAGCAAGGAAAGCUGUGUGGAUGCUACUAUCGUCUGUGAACACAGUACACCAACGGGAAUAAACGGGAAUUUAUGGGAAUAAACUGGGAAUUUUCUAAAUUGAAGGUUGGCUCUUCAUAGGGAACCUAAACAUAGUUGGGGAAAGUAUAUUUUAGCAUAAUCUUGACUAAAACAAACAGAUGCCAUUUAAGUACACACUUGAAUAUCCAUGCCAUUCCUCAAUCACAUCUAGGCUACAUAGCACACGGCUUACUGCAUGGCUAUUGAGACCACACCCCCUACAGGCACUGCAUUCCUCCAUCACAUGCACAGAUGAUUUCUAGAAGACUGGAUCACACUUUUGAGCCCAAAGCACAAGACAAAUAAAGCCACACAUUUGAGCCUGUGGACUACACAAAGUGAAGUAAGUUUAGAUGAUAUUAUGGGGUAAUAUCAUCAAUUUUUUAAUUGCAAAUAUCACAUACAAAUGUAUUCAUCUAGUACAGUGUUUCUCAAACUUUUUCAUGGACCACUUAACCAAUUAAAAAAACACUCACGGACCACCUAACUCCCCAAAUAUCCCAAAACACAUCGUUUUUCUAGAACAGAUGUGGAGGCUAUUUUUAUAUAACAUUAGAAAGACUGAUUCUUAUUAUUACAUUAUUUGCUUAUUGUGCUCAUUUACAGUAUGUGGCUGUGAUUUAGGAAUAAAUGGACCCAAUCACCCCCCCCCAAGUUUUGAUGGGGUGGACAGGAACGGAGGGAAAAGUUACAUGAGAAAGUGUUUAGCUUGCAAUAUUGAAAGUAGCAAGGUCGAGUGCAGAGACUAAUAGAACACAAAGAGGUAGUCAGAACAGCACAUCGCACCGGCCUUGACUCUGUAUGGGAGCCGCGCUCCCCCGCAAAGCUAAGAAGCAACAUUAUGGUUUCCCGCUAUAUCUGAAGAAACGUUAGAGAAAACAAAUUAGUAUGAUGGUGCCAGAGUAGGGAGGGACUUCCACAGGCCGGCCGAAUGCUGAUUGGAGGAUCGUGUUGCCAAGAGACCCUAUCUGAGUCUGUGCACCAACCAAAGAGAACCAAGUCUAAACCGCGGUAUCUCUUCAGCUAGUCUUGACCAAUCAAAAAUGUACGGGCAACGCCCUGUGUAAUAAAAUGUAUUGUCGCACGAGGUUCGAGGCUCUUGACGGAUUUGGUGGUUACAGAUUACAGCUUUGCUGCCUGUGAUUCCCAAAGACGUG